GUGUUCGCUUCGGCAGCACAAAUACUAAAAUUGGAGCAAUACAGAGAUUAGCAUGGCCCCUGCGCAAGGAUGAUACGCAAAUUCAUGAAGUGUUCCAUAUUUUU
rnacentral:snRNA from 1 species